GAUGAACGCUGGCGGCGUGCUUAACACAUGCAAGUCGAACGAAGCGUCUUAAAGGAAGUUUUCGGAUGGAAUUUGGGAUGACUGAGUGGCGGACGGGUGAGUAACGCGUGGAUAACCUGCCUCAUACAGGGGGAUAACAGCUAGAAAUGGCUGCUAAUACCGCAUAAGCGCACAGUGCCGCAUGGCAGUGUGUGAAAAACUCCGGUGGUAUAAGAUGGACCCGCGUUGGAUUAGCUUGUUGGCAGGGUAACGGCCUACCAAGGCGACGAUCCAUAGCCGGCCUGAGAGGGUGAACGGCCACAUUGGGACUGAGACACGGCCCAG
rnacentral:rRNA from 1 species